rnacentral:rRNA from 1 species
AACGAACGCUGGCGGCAGGCUUAACACAUGCAAGUCGAACGCCCUCUUCGGAGGGAGUGGCAGACGGGUGAGUAACACGUGGGAAUCUACCUAUCUCUGCGGAACAACACAUAGAAAUGUGUGCUAAUACCGCAUACGCCCUUCGGGGAAGGAUUUAUCGGAGAUAGAUGAGCCCGCGUUUGAUUAGCUAGUUGGUGAGGUAAUGGCUCACCAAGGCGACGAUCAAUAGCUGGUCUGAGAGGAUGAUCAGCCACACUGGGACUGAGACACGGCCCAGACUCCUACGGGAGGCAGCAGUGGGGAAUAUUGGACAAUGGGCGCAAGCCUGAUCCAGCCAUGCCGCGUGAGUGAUGAAGGCCCUAGGGUUGUAAAGCUCUUUCAACGGUGAAGAUAAUGACGGUAACCGUAGAAGAAGCCCCGGCUAACUUCGUGCCAGCAGCCGCGGUAA